rnacentral:tRNA from 1 species
GGGUGCUUAGCUCAGUUGGUUAGAGCACUUCGUUUACACCGAAGGUGUCGGGGGUUCGAGUCCCUCAGCGCCCA